rnacentral:misc_RNA from 1 species
GAUGAAGAACGUAGCGAAAUGCGAUACGUAAUGUGAAUUGCAGAUCUCUCAGUGAACCAUCGAAUUUUUGAACGCACAUAGCGCCCGCCGGUCAUUCCGGCGGGCAUGCCUGUCCGAGCGUCAUUUCAACCCUCAAGCACAGCUUGGUGUUGGGACUCGCGUUAAUUCGCGUUCCCCAAAUUGAUUGGCGGUCACGUCGAGCUUCCAUAGCGUAGUAGUAAAACCCUCGUUACUGGUAAUCGUCGCGGCCACGCCGUUAACCCCCAACUUCUGAAUGUUGACCUCGGAUCAGGUAGGAAUACCCGCUGAACUUAAGCAUAUCAAUAAGCGGAGGA